AAAGUUGUAACAAGGUUUCCGUAGGUGAACCUGCGGAAGGAUCAUUAACAAGAGUUUGCGAAGCAAGGGGUGCACUUGUGUGCCCUUUGGUUUGACAUUAGUGAGUGAGGGUGGUGGAGAGAGUGUGUAGGAGGCUGAGAGUGUGUGGAGGGGUUGAUUUGGUGUGUGCUGGCUGGGUGGUGUGUUUGCGCAUCUUGCAGAUGUGUGUUGGAUCACCUGGUGGUGCGUGCUGGAGAGAGUCAUUUCGUGCGCUUGGCCGACUGUGUGCAGUGCUGCCAUCUUUGCAAACACAUAAAUAGUAUGUAUGUUGACAGAAGCGACACAAAGAGAGUACUUUUAACAAUGGAUCUCUAGGCUCUU
rnacentral:misc_RNA from 1 species